UGAGGAAUAUUGGUCAAUGGGCGAGAGCCUGAACCAGCCAAGUAGCGUGCAGGAUGACGGCCCUAUGGGUUGUAAACUGCUUUUAUAGGGGAAUAAAGUGAGGGACGUGUCCCUUAUUGCAUGUACCAUACGAAUAAGGACCGGCUAAUUCCGUGCCAGCAGCCGCGGUAAGACGGAAGGUCCAGGCGUUAUCCGGAUUUAUUGGGUUUAAAGGGAGCGUAGGCUGUUUGUUAAGCGUGUUGUGAAAUGUAAGAGCUCAACUUUUAGAUUGCAGCGCAACCUGGCAGACUUAGGUGCGCACAACGUAGGCGGAAUUCGUGGUGUGACGGUGAAAUGCUUAGAAAUCAUGACGAAACCCGUUUGCGAAGGCAGCUUACGGGAGCGCAACUGACGCUAAAGCUCGAAGGGGCGGGUAUCGAACAGG
rnacentral:rRNA from 1 species